rnacentral:lncRNA from 1 species
AAUAAUUAAAUUAUAAAUUAGAUCUAAUCUAAGAAAUAAUCUAAGAAUAUAUAAAUAAUCAUGUAAUAAACAACCUAGGCUCUGAUACCAAUUGAAGGAACCAGAUCUAGGGUUUCAGGGUUAGAUCUUGAAACUUUUUCAAGAUCAGAUAGUGGAAGACUAAAAUAAAUCAAAAUUUAUCUUAUAAAAUUAGAGAAUCCCU